rfam:Triticum aestivum genome assembly, contig: Triticum_aestivum_CS42_TGACv1_scaffold_030456_1BL
AUACUACUCCCUCCGUCCGGAAAUACUUAUCGGAGGAAUGGAUGUAUCUAGAUGUAUUUUAAUUCUAGAUACAUCCAUUUUUAUGCAUUUCUCCGACAAGUAUUUCCAGGAAGAGGGAGUACUUU